ACGUAGGCGGCUUUGCAAGUCGGGUGUGAAAUCCCUGAGCUUAACUCAGGAACUGCAUUCGAUACUGCAUCGCUAGAGUAUGCUAGAGGAUAGUGGAAUUCCAGGUGUAGCGGUGAAAUGCGUAGAUAUCUGGAGGAACACCAAUGGCGAAGGCAGCUAUCUGGAGCAAUACUGACGCUGAGGUGCGAAAGCGUGGGGAGCGAACAGGAUUAGAUACCCUGGUAGUCCACGCCCUAAACGAUGAGAACUAGACGUUGGGUAUUUAUACCGAGUGUCGUAGCUAACGCGUUAAGUUCUCCGCCUGGGGAGUACGACCGCAAGGUUGAAACUCAAAGUAAUUGACGGGGGCCCGCACAAGCGGUGGAGCAUGUGGUUUAAUUCGAUGCAACGCGAAGAACCUUACCUACCCUUGACAUCAUCAGAACUUGUUAGAGAUAACUCGGUGCCUUCGGGAACUGAUAGACAGGUGCUGCAUGGCUGUCGUCAGCUCGUGUCGUGAGAUGUUGGGUUAAGUCCCGCAACGAGCGCAACCCUUAUCCUUAGUUGCCAGCGAUUCGGUCGGGAACUCUAAGGAGACUGCCGGUGAUAAACCGGAGGAAGGUGAGGAUGACGUCAAGUCAUCAUGGCCCUUAUGGGUAGGGCUACACACGUGCUACAAUGGACGAUACAGAGGGUCGCCAACCUGCAAAGGGGAGCUAAUCUCAGAAAGUCGUUCUCAGUCCGGAUCGAAGUCUGCAACUCGACUUCGUGAAGUCGGAAUCGCUAGUAAUCGCGAAUCAGCAAUGUCGCGGUGAAUACGUUCCCGGGCCUUGUACACACCGCCCGUCACACCAUGGGAGUUGGUUGCACCAGAAGUGGGUCGUCUAACCUUCGGGGGGAUGCU
rnacentral:rRNA from 1 species